rnacentral:lncRNA from 1 species
UAGUGCUUUGUCAUUAUUAACAACCUGUAGGAGAAGGUGAAACCGGAGAAUGAGCAGAUGCGGCUGUUCAUGGACAACAGCAUCAAGAAACCUGCAACAUGCAACCUGAUUUUAAGAAAUUUGCCACCUGCAACAUGACUGGGCAGUGGUAUCUCUGAGAUAUAAUGUGGACAACGGCAAAGAAUACUAUGCAUACACAACAGAAGAGUCCUGCAACCUGAUUUUAAGUCCAUUUGUAGCAAACAAUCUUGGAAGCCAUUAACUCGUUGAAUUUGAAGCGGAUGUGCAGUUUUAUUUUUAUGUCAGUUUUACUAAUGCAGUUAGUUCCUAAGCAAAUCCAUGGCAACUUGUUUCACGCUGAUGCUUGAGAAGUUGAGAGGGAUGGAAAUGACACUCACAAUAAAAAUUUGAUUUGCUUUCUUGUGAUCGUCGAUCACAAUAAACGCAGUGGCACAAUAUACCGUGUAAUUGUCCUUUCCUGGUAGAACAUGAAAUGUUGAACUUCCUCUUGUGAUAUAUAAAGCCUUUGUAUCCUACAUAAUAUUUAACAUCCUACGGAAAUUUAUUUGU